GACAUAGAAAAAAGGGUAAACUUAUUAAAGGCAUAAGGGUGGACGACAAUUGAAAGGUUAGUAAGAUGGUGGAGACGGAAGCAGCUGUGGCGGGUUGGCUGCAAUAUGUUGAAAUAGCUAGCUAUUAUAUUAAAAAAAUAUGUCAUAUAUUUUGAGUAUGUAAAAUGCUAGUUAAAGAUUAUAUAUAUGAUAUUAUUAUUAUGCAA